rnacentral:rRNA from 1 species
AUUUAGACAAUACAGGUAUUAAUCAAUUUUAUUAAACCUCUAUAAAAUGGCGGCAUUUUACCUUUUUUAGAGGAACAUGUUUAUUAAUCGACCCCACACGAUCAAUUUUACUUACUUUAAAAUUUUAUAUACCACCAUUAAACAAAUUUAUUAAAAAAUAUUUUUCUAGGAAAAAGCUAAAACAUUAGGUAAAGGUGUAAACAAUAAGUAAGAAAAAAUGUGUUACAUUAAAAUUCAUUUAAGGAUACUUAAUUAAAUAUAAGUACUAAAAAGGAUUUAAAAGUAAUAUUAAUAUAAUAUAUGAAUAUGAAUUAAUAAAUAAAUGUGC